UGAAAUAUUGAGAUGUACAAAGUCUGAAUGGAAUGCGAUGUUAAUUUCGCGUUUUAGGAACGCUUUGGAAGGGAGGUACCAGAUUGAGUGGACCGAUAUAUUCCAUCUUCACACCAGACCUUGGGUUGAUAAAAAUAUUGUGAUGUGUGUAAUUUAAAGACAAUGGACAAUUACAUCACAUUUUAUAAGAGUUAUAAUUAUUCAAAAUGUUGACCCUAUGUGGGGAAGGUACUGGAUGGAUUGGGCCGAUAUUGACCAUUUCCACACCUGGCCUAGCACUGAUGCAGAUAUUAGGAUUUGCAAAGUUGAGGCAAAAUCGGAUUAUCAUUCCUCUUUCUGUGCAGUUACAUAUUUUUUUGAAGAUGUCGACUUUUUGUGGGGUUGGUCCUAGAAGGAGAGGACCGACAUUGUAUAUCUCCGAACUCGAUCUAUGUUUAGAAUGUACCAAGUUUGGACCAAAUCGAAUACUCUCUUCGAGAGUUGUCGUGGGGUCCAGCCAGACAGGCGGACGGACGGACAUCGCUAGAUCGACUCCAAAUAUCAUAAAACGGAUUUGGUCCAAAGAGACCUAGGGUCUUCAACCGUUAUUUCGAUGAGGCACGUUUUUGCCGUAUCAAAUGAUAUAUACCCUGUAUAGCCAUAUGGCUGAGGGUAUAAAAAUGCUUGUGUAACAAAUACUGAAUACUCGAAAUUAAACCCUCAUUUACAGCCUUAUACUUGUACUGUUCGGCCGAGCGAACUUUGAAUACUCUGCUCCAUUUGGAAGGAAUUUGAAAAAUUUUAAAAAAAUCCUUUGAAAAAUACCGCAAAAAUUACAAAAAUCGUGAAUGAAGACGUAUAUAUGUAAUUUUUGUCUCAGGCCAUCACGAUAUUACAAUACGAAAUUCGGAACAAUUCCGGAGAAUAACGUAGCUAAAAUCACUAAAAUACCGAAAAUAGGGAGGAACCGUUAAAUGGGGACUAUACGAAGACCAGAACCAGUAUGUGAAAUUUUCUGUCAUAGACUGUAGUACCCAUUAGAAACGUCAAAUAUGAAAUUUGACACAAUUCCGGUGCAUAAUGUCGGCCAAGAUAAGGUAAUAAUAGAUAAUCAAAAUACUGAAUAUAUGGGGAAGUACCGUUAUAUGGGACCUAUACCAAGGCGUGGUCAUGAAUAGACAAUUUUUGGUCACAGGCUGCCGCACUCAUUACGAACCGACAAUACAAAAUUUGAAACAAUUCCGGCGGAUAAUGUCGCUAAAUAUGGGAUGUAGAGCCCAUUAGGAACUCCAAAUUCCUCAUUUGAAACAUUUCCGGUGAAAUAUCACAAAUCAUCAAAAUACGGAAAACUUAGACCUAUAUUGACAGUUCUAUGCAAGGGCGUUGCCUACAUACUUCGGGUUGAAAUUGUGGCGCUACACCAAAACCUGGACCUACUUGAUCCAUAG